GGGAGUACGACCGCAAGGUUGAAACUCAAAGGAAUUGACGGGGGCCCGCACCAGCGGUGGAGCAUGUGGUUUAAUUUGAAGCAACGCGAAGAACCUUACCAGGUCUUGACAUCCUUUGACCACUCUAGAGAUAGAGCUUCCCCUUCGGGGGCAAAGUGACAGGUGGUGCAUGGUUGUCGUCAGCUCGUGUCGUGAGAUGUUGGGUUAAGUCCCGCAACGAGCGCAACCCUUAUUGUUAGUUGCCAUCAUUUAGUUGGGCACUCUAGCAAGACUGCCGGUGACAAACCGGAGGAAGGUGGGGAUGACGUCAAAUCAUCAUGCCCCUUAUGACCUGGGCUACACACGUGCUACAAUGGGAAGUACAACGAGUUGCGAAGUCGCGAGGCUAAGCUAAUCUCUUAAAGCUUCUCUCAGUUCGGAUUGCAGGCUGCAACUCGCCUGCAUGAAGCCGGAAUCGCUAGUAAUCGCGGAUCAGCACGCCGCGGUGAAUACGUUCCCGGGCCUUGUACACACCGCCCGUCACACCACGAGAGUUUGUAACACCCGAAGUCGGUGAGGUAACCUUUUUGGAGCCAGCCGCCUAAAGGUGUUAAACUUAAUGC
rnacentral:rRNA from 1 species